rnacentral:tRNA from 1 species
UAGCUCAGUCGGUAGAGCAUGAGACUCUUAAUCUCACGGUCGUGGGUUCGUGCCCCAC